GAGAGAGAGAGAGACUUUGGUUUUAUUAGUUUUAGCAAUAUUCCAGCAAUAACACGGCAGGUCACACCAGAAAUUCGCUUCACACCGUACCCGUGUGGGGAAUCGAACACGGGUCUUCAGCAUGAUGAGCAAACACUUUAACCACUAGGCU